AAAUCACAAUGCUCAUGAGAAGCUUCUUGCUGGCGGAAGCAAAGUUCAUAGUCGUUAGCAACUCCCAAGUUAAUUAUCACCCAGAAAGUUACAUAUGGAUUCAAGUUUUCUACCAUAAUGAACAAUCCCAUACUUCAAAAAUCAAAAACCGAGAAAAUCCAAACAUAUUAACCAUUCACAACGUUACAUUUGGGUGGCAAUCCACAGGAGUCCCAGACUACUAGAUAUUUCUAUGCAAACCCAAAAAUAGACAGUGUGGUAGGUCCACCAAGUGCCUACCUUCAUAUCACGUUCCAAUUUUCCCACGUAACUCCACCAUUUUUAGUCAUCCUUCUCCAUCCUUUUCAAUGCCCACACCAAUCACAUUGUGCCACUAUACAUUACUAUGGGCCAAGGACAAUGGGUAAUUUCAAAAAAAGCAUAGGAACUUCAAAAUUGUUGGUUUGAGUUGAAUAUUAGGUUUGGAAGAAGUGUGGAUUUCAGCAGACGCUUAUCCUAAACCCCAACAAACUUUGUUCGUAUAUCAAAGAGUCUAAAUAAUUUGAGAGAGAGAGAAAAGGAAGAUGCCGCCAGGUUGGGGACCGCCACCAGGAGGACCUCCCGGAGGACCAGGGAUUUGUGGCUGCUGUGAUUUUCUCUGUAAUGGCAUAUGCAGGAUUGCAUCUUCUUGUAUGUAUUUCCUGUGCUGCUGCUGCAUCCUAGAGAGUUGUUGUGGACCAGUAUUUGGUGGUCCACCUCCAGGCGGACCACCCGGAGGCCCAUUUGGCCCUCCGCCUCCGGGACCUCCUCGGUUCUGAAUUCUGUCAGCCACGCUUGCCUGAUUAUUUGUUUAUCGUUGUGAUUGCAUUAGCAAGAUCAAGAUAUGCAUGUAACCUUACGUUCCUUGUAUGUUGCUGAGUAGCUUGUCUGAUCAUUUGUAUUAUUGUUAGCCCAUUUUUAUAAGAAGAUUGUCCAUCUUGUUUCCCUUGUUCCACUACUUAAGAAUCCUGCGUUCACCUGAUGUGAGAGUUUAGCAUCCUGAUCUAUGUCAAAGAUUCUUGAGAUGUUUCAAGGAAAAAGAUUCCUGUCAGGUAAUACAAAGGGACUUGGUCAACAUCCUCCAACUUUUUAAAAUCGCCAAGAUUGAGAGUUGUGGCGAACCAAAGCUUUAACUUCAUCUCACAAGAAAGAUGAUACAUAAAAAUCUCAAUUCAAAGCAUCCAUCUGACAUUGUCACCACUGAAAUCAGCUUCUUUACAAUCUCA
rnacentral:misc_RNA from 1 species